GACGAACCGUGCAAACGUUGUUCGGAAUCACUGGGCUUAAAGGGUGCGUAGGCGGCAGGGUAAGUCGGGUGUGAAAUCCCUUGGCUCAACCAAGGAACUGCGCCCGAUACUGCCAAGCUCGAGGGAGGUAGGGGCGCGUGGAACUUCCGGUGGAGUGGUGAAAUACGUUGAUAUCGGAAGGAACGCCGGUGGCGAAAGCGGCGCGCUAGGCCUCUUCUGACGCUGAGGCACGAAAGCUAGGGUAGCGAACGGG
rnacentral:rRNA from 1 species